GGCGUAAAGCGCGCGUAGGCGGUUAAGUAAGUUAAUUGUGAAAGCCCAAAGCUCAACUUUGGAAUUGCAAUUAAAACUACUUAGCUAGAGUUUAUCAGAGGAAAGCGGAAUACAUAGUGUAGAGGUGAAAUUCGUAGAUAUUAUGUAGAACACCAGUUGCGAAGGCGGCUUUCUGGGAUAACACUGACGCUGAGGUGCGAAAGUAUGGGUAGCGAAGAGGAUUAGAUACCCUCGUAGUCCAUACCGUAAACGAUGAUUGUUAGAUGUUGGAAAUUUAUUUUCAGUAUCACAGCUAACGCGUUAAACAAUCCGCCUGGGGAGUACGACCGCAAGGUUAAAACUCAAAUGAAUUGACGGGGACCCGCACAAGCGGUGGAGCAUGUGGUUUAAUUCGAAGCUACGCGCAGAACCUUACCAACACUUGACAUGUCUGUCGCGGAUUCCAGAGAUGGAUUCCUUCGGUUCGGCCGGACAGAACACAGGUGCUGCAUGGCUGUCGUCAGCUCGUGUCGUGAGAUGUUGGGUUAAGUCCCGCAACGAGCGCAACCCCUACUUCUAGUUGCCAUCAGGUUAAGCUGGGCACUCUAGUAGGACUGCCUGUGAUAAGCAGGAGGAAGGUUGGGAUGACGUCAAGUCCUCAUGGCCCUUACGUGUUGGGCUACACACGUGCUACAAUGGUGGGGACAACAGGUUGCCAACCCGCGAGGGUGAGCCAAUCCCAAAACCCCAUCUCAGUUCGGAUCGGAGUCU
rnacentral:rRNA from 1 species